UACAGAUACUUGCCCCAUGUAAAGACCUUCUGUAGAGGACAACCGGAUGACAAUUAUGCAUCAUAUCCUCUUGACCAUGGAAUCAGUAUCACAUAUAAAUCACCAUUUCUUUCUGAAUGAAUUGUCCCCACUCCUGUGAAGUCAGCAUACCACAUUCCAAAUUUCUGACUUACCUCUCCUUUCCUUUUUCGUGAUCUAUGAGCUGUUCUUACUUUUCUGAAUGAUUAAAUAAAGUGAUUCAAGAAGCAAUAA